rnacentral:rRNA from 1 species
AGAGUUUGAUCCUGGCUCAGGAUUAACGUUGGCAGUGUGCCUAACACAUGCAAGUCGAGCGAUAUAGCGGCAGACGAGAGAGUAUAAGAAAGGAACGUACCCCCGAGUGAAGGAUAGCCAGCCGAAAGGCUGGGUAAUCCUGCAUAAUCCCGCAAGGGCAAAGCUUUACGCGCUUGGGGAGCGGCCUUUCUCCUAUCAGCUUGUUGGUGAGGUAAUGGCUUACCAAGGCGAUGACGGGUAGCUGGUCUGAGAGGAUGAUCAGCCUCGAUGGGACUGAGACACGGCCCAUACUCCUACGGGAGGCAGCAGUUGGGAAUUUUGCACAAUGGAGGCAACUCUGAUGCAGCAACACUGCGUGAAGGAUGAAGGUUUUCGGAUUGUAAACUUCUUUUAUCUGGGAAUAAUCUUGAAGGUACCAGAUGAAUAAGCACCGGCUAACUACGUG